UACUCACAAACCAAACUGACUUGUGCUACCCAAUACCUUCAGCUCCAAGUCCAUGUUCUGUCCAUUCAUUCAUUUCUUCUUUCUUCUUCUUACGCAGCACAUCCAAUAGCCCGAGCCGAGAGACUACCUCACUCAGGUCGCCCCCCCACUUGUCGUCAACUUUACCUCGACGCCAUCAGAACUGAACGAAUUCGUCGUCGGCUUCUUCCCCACCCAAUACCCAACCCCUUACCCGUCGUCGAAACAUCGACCCUAGCCCUAGGUCACCGGCUAACCCUCAUUAGGUAUGUGAGGAACAGAACGCUGGCGAAAAUGCCUUCCUUGGUAGAGUUCCAGCUGCAGUGCAACCAGAAGCCGCCGAUCAAGUUGUGGCACAACACCUUCAUCUGGUCGCACCACCACCCCUUUCUCUCCCCACACAUCUCGGAUUCUCGAAGCAUCGGCCUCUCCCGCGCCACCUAGCCACCUAGAAGAACCUGACGCAGCUGCCGGCGAUUUCGGUGAUGAUUUUAUCCAUCUGAGCUUUGGAAACAGAGAGGAAGCUUCCCUGUGAAAUGUAAAGAACAAAGGCUCUAGGCUGAGAGUUAAGCCACUGCACAUUGCCACGGCUAAUUUCGCUCUCUGUAAGGCUAAAGUAAGGAAUCACCUGGCCGAUGGGGUGAAUGGGGAGGAGGAUUGCUUCCUUAAGAACAUAAAUGGUGUGGGAUUCGAUCUUGUAGGUGGAAACAAAAAGGAGAAACUGCGUCUUUCGCACCCGUGACGUAGCUUCCAUAGCUAUAUGGAAAACCUUUCGUCCGUCGUCGUGGAAGAAUGUUGGAAGAUUUGCUAAGCGGGUUAGCGGAAGUCUAGUGAAUAGUUCAGAAUUUGGUCUGGAUAUUGAAGAUUAUCUUAUUGGAAUUUGUUUUAUGUCCAAUGAACUGCCAAGGUAUGUGGUGAACCAAGUAACAGCUGGGGAUUAUGAUUGUCCAAGAAAUGUGUUGAAGUUCUUAACAAUAACAGAUCUUCAUGCAUGUAUUAUUCACGGAUGGAUCACGUCAGAUUAGAAGAUAGUGUGCAUUAUUAUACACAUAUAUUAGGCUUUGUAAUUUUAUUACCAACUUUGAAUCCGAGGAAUUGCUUUGGUGAUGUGGUCAUCUAACUUUUUGCUAGUGCUUCCAAUUGAUGUGUGGUCAUCUAAUUUUAUUAUGUAUGGUCUUGCUAGAAUUAUAGGUGUGUUAUAUGUUUAUGGUUUUAUGACUU